rnacentral:rRNA from 1 species
UGGCGGCAUGCUUUACACAUGCAAGUCGGAACGGCAGCACGGGUGCUUGCACUGGUGGCGAGUGGCGGACGGGUGAGUAAUGCAUCGGAACGUGUCCUAAAGUGGGGGAUAACGCAUCGAAAGAUGUGCUAAUACCGCAUAUUCUCUGAGGAGAAAAGUAGGGGAUCGAAAGACCUUAUGCUUUUGGAGCGGCCGAUGUCUGAUUAGCUAGUUGGUAGGGUAAUGGCCUACCAAGGCGACGAUCAGUAGUUGGUCUGAGAGGACGACCAGCCACACUGGGACUGAGACACGGCCCAGACUCCUACGGGAGGCAGCAGUGGGGAAUUUUUGGACAAUGGGCGCAAGCCUGAUCCAGCAAUGCCGCGUGAGUGAAGAAGGCCUUCGGGUUGUAAAGCUCUUUCAGUUGAGAAGAAAAAGUCGUGACUAAUAAUCAUGAUUCAUGACGGUAUCAACAGAAGAAGCACCGGCUAACUACGUG